rfam:Lawsonia intracellularis PHE/MN1-00
UUAUAUUGUUAGGGGAGCCUAAAUGACAAACAAGGCUGAGAGUGGGAUGGACCCUGACCCUUGGAACCUGAUGUAGUUAAUACUACCGUAGGGAUAGCAUAAUAGUUAACUA